rnacentral:rRNA from 1 species
UACGAAGGGUGCAAGCGUUACUCGGAAUUACUGGGCGUAAAGCGUGCGUAGGCGGUUUGUUAAGUCCGUUGUGAAAGCCCUGGGCUCAACCUGGGAAUUGCAGUGGAUACUGGCGAGCUAGAGUGCGGUAGAGGAUGGUGGAAUUCCCGGUGUAGCGGUGAAAUGCGUAGAGAUCGGGAGGAACACCCGUGGCGAAGGCGGCCAUCUGGGAAGGUACUGACGCUGAGACGCGAAAGCGUGGGGAGCAAACAGG